rnacentral:misc_RNA from 1 species
GAUGAAGAACGUAGCGAAAUGCGAUACGUAAUGUGAAUUGCAGAAUUCAGUGAAUCAUCGAAUCUUUGAACGCAUAUUGCGCUCUCUGGUAUUCCGGAGAGCAUGCUUGUUUGAGUAUCAGUAAACACCUCAACUUCCAUAUCUUUUUUGAAAUGGGAGUUGGAUUUGAGUGAUCCCAACGCUUUUCCUCACCGAAAAGUGGCGGGUUACUUGAAAUGCAGGUGCAGCUGGACUUUUCUCUGAGCUAUAAGCAUAUCUAUUUAGUCUGCCUAAAAAACAGAUUAUUACCUUUGCUGCAGCUAACAUAAAGGAGAUUAGUUCUUGUGCUGACUGAUGCAGGAUUCACAAAGACGGCUUCGGCCGACUUUGUAAACUCGAUCUCAAAUCAAGUAAGACUACCCGCUGAACUUAAGCAUAUCAAUAAGCUGAGGA